GACGAACGCUGGCGGCGUGCUUAACACAUGCAAGUCGAACGGUGACGGAGAGCUUGCUCUCCUGAUCAGUGGCGAACGGGUGAGUAACACGUGGGCAACCUGCCCCAGACUUCGGGAUAACGCUUCGAAAGAGGUGCUAAUACCGGAUACGAACUCCUUGGGCAUCCUUGGAGUUGGAAAGUUUCUCGGUCUGGGAUGGGCCCGCGGCCUAUCAGCUUGUUGGUGAGGUAACGGCUCACCAAGGCGACGACGGGUAGCCGGCCUGAGAGGGCGACCGGCCACACCGGGACUGAGACACGGCCCAGACUCCUACGGGAGGCAGCAGUGGGGAAUCUUAGACAAUGGGGGAAACCCUGAUCUAGCCAUGCCGCGUGAUCGAUGAAGGCCUUAGGGUUGUAAAGAUCUUUCAGUGGGGAAGAUAAUGACUGGACCCACAGAAGAAGCCCCGGCUAACUCCGUGCCAGCCGCCGCCGUAAAAC
rnacentral:rRNA from 1 species